rnacentral:rRNA from 1 species
AGCGAACGCUGGCGGCAGGCUUAACACAUGCAAGUCGAACGGGCAUCUUCGGAUGUCAGUGGCAGACGGGUGAGUAACACGUGGGAACGUACCCUUCGGUUCGGAAUAACUCAGGGAAACUUGAGCUAAUUCCGGAUACGCCCUUUUGGGGAAAGGUUUACUGCCGAAGGAUCGGCCCGCGUCUGAUUAGCUUGUUGGUGGGGUAACGGCCUACCAAGGCGACGAUCAGUAGCUGGUCUGAGAGGAUGAUCAGCCACACUGGGACUGAGACACGGCCCAGACUCCUACGGGAGGCAGCAGUGGGGAAUAUUGGACAAUGGGCGCAAGCCUGAUCCAGCCAUGCCGCGUGAGUGAUGAAGGCCUUAGGGUUGUAAAGCUCUUUUGUCCGGGACGAUAAUGACGGUACCGGAAGAAUAAGCCCCGGCUAACUUCGUG